AUACGUAGGGGGCGGGCGUUGUCCGGAAUGAUUGGGCGUAAAGGGCGCGUAGGCGGCCCGGUAAGUCUGGAGUGAAAGUCCUGUUUUUAAGAUGGGAAUUGCUUUGGAUACUGUCGGGCUUGAGUGCAGGAGAGGUAAGUGGAAUUCCCAGUGUAGCGGUGAAAUGCGUAGAGAUUGGGAGGAACACCAGUGGCGAAGGCGACUUACUGGACUGUAACUGACGCUGAGGCGCGAAAGUGUGGGGAGCAAACAGGAUUAGAUACCCUGGUAGUCCACACUGUAAACGAUGAAUGCUAGGUGUAGGGGGUAUCGACCCCUUCUGUGCCGCAGUCAACACAAUAAGCAUUCCGCCUGGGGAGUACGGCCGCAAGGUUGAAACUCAAAGGAAUUGGCGGGG
rnacentral:rRNA from 1 species